CAUGUCUUUUUGAUUAUAAUUUAAAGUCUAAUCUGCACAAUGAAGAUUAAAUUGCCGCAGUAUUUUGACUGUGCAAAGGUAGCAUAAUAAUUAGUUUCUUGAUUAGAAGCUGGAAUGAAUGAUUGGACGAGAAAGUUUCUGUCUCUUAUUAAAGAAUUAUUGAAUUUUAUUUUUAAGUUAAAAAGCUUAAAUGUUUAUAAAAGACGAGAAGACCCUAUAGAGUUUUAUAUUUUUUAUUAAUUAAAUAUUAGGAAAAUUUUUUAAUAUGAAAUAUUUGGUUGGGGUGAUUUAGAGAUUUAUUAAAUUCUUUAAAAUUUUAAUUGAUGAUUAUUAAUUUUAUUAUCUAAAUUUUUUAAAUUUAAAAUUAAUUACCUUAGGGAUAACAGCGUAAUUUUUCUUUAAAGCUCUUAUUAAAAGAAAAUUUUGCGACCUCGAUGUUGGAUUAAAAUAAAUUUUUGGUGCAGUAACUUAAAAAUUGGGUCUGUUCGACCUUUAAUAUUUUACAUGAUCUGAGUUUAAACCGGUGUAAGCCAGGUUGGAUUCUAUCUUUAGAUUGAUUAUAUAUUUUAGUACGAAAGGACCAAGUAUAUAUUAUAUAUUAAUUA
rnacentral:rRNA from 1 species